rnacentral:rRNA from 1 species
GGCCGCGGUAUUUUGACCGUGCUAAGGUAGCGUAAUCACUUGUCUUUUAAAUUAAGACCUGUAUGAAUGGUGAAACGAGGGCUCAACUGUCUCCUUUUUCAAGUCAGUGAAAUUGAUCUGCCCGUGCAGAAGCGGACAUAUAUAUACAAGACGAGAAGACCCUUUGGAGCUUUAAGAUACUAAGAUCAAAUAUGUAAAGGAUACACAAAAUGACAAUAAAACAUAAUAUUUACUGAUCUACAUCUUCGGUUGGGGCGACCGUGGGGAAAGAAAAACCCCCAUGUGGAAAGGGUUAAUCCUAUAAACCAAGAGGUACACCUCUAAGUCUCAGAAAUUCUGACCUAAUAGAUCCAGCUCAUAAGCUGAUUAACGGACCAAGUUACCCUAGGGAUAACAGCGCAAUCCCCUUCAAGAGCCCAUAUCGACGAGGGGGUUUACGACCUCGAUGUUGGAUCAGGACAUCCUAAUGGUGCAGCCGCUAUUAAGGGUUCGUUUGUUCAACGAUUAAAGUCCUAC